rnacentral:rRNA from 1 species
UACGAAGGGGGCUAGCGUUGCUCGGAAUCACUGGGCGUAAAGCGCACGUAGGCGGAUCUUUUAAGUCAGGGGUGAAAUCCUGGAGCUCAACUCCAGAACUGCCUUUGAUACUGAGGAUCUUGAGUUCGGGAGAGGUGAGUGGAACUGCGAGUGUAGAGGUGAAAUUCGUAGAUAUUCGCAAGAACACCAGUGGCGAAGGCGGCUCACUGGCCCGAUACUGACGCUGAGGCACGAAAGCGUGGGGAGCAAACAGGG